rnacentral:rRNA from 1 species
UACGAGGGGUGCAAGCGUUGCUCGGAAUCAUUGGGCGUAAAGGGUAGGUAGGUGGUCUGAUUUGUCAGGGGUGAAAGCCUUGGGCUUAACCUGAGAAGUGCCCCUGAAACGGUCAGACUUGAGUCUUGGAGAGGGUCGUGGAAUUCCCGGUGUAGCGGUGAAAUGCGUAGAGAUCGGGAGGAACACCAGAGGCGAAGGCGGCGACCUGGACAAGCACUGACACUCAACUACGAAAGCGUGGGGAGCAAACAGG